ensembl:snRNA U6 U6 spliceosomal RNA
GCUUGUUCCUCUCCCUCAUAUUAAAAUUGGAACACAAUAGAGAAAAUUAGCAUGGUCUCUGUCCAAGGAUGAUAUGCAAAUUCGUGGAGCAUUCUAUAUUAGA